rnacentral:misc_RNA from 1 species
AUGCGAUAAGUAAUGUGAAUUGCAGAUUUCAGUGAAUCAUCGAAUCUUUGAACGCACCUUGCGCUCUUUGGUAUUCCGAAGAGCAUGCCUGUUUGAGUGUCAUUAAAUUCUCAACUUCUCAACGGUUGUCAUGACCGCUGUUAAGCUUGGAUGUGAGGGUUUUGCUGGCUUUUCACAAGUCAGCUCCCUUGAAAAUCAUUAGCGCAGCUUAUGCAAAUCGCUUGGUGUGAUAAUUUAUCUACUUUGUGACGCGCAUGAUUCAAGCUUUGUGCUUCGAACCGUCUUCUCCGAAGACAAUUAUUUUUUGAACUUGACCUCAAAUCAGGUAGGACUACCCGCUGAACUUAA